UGGAUAGUGCUCCAGGCUGGUUGCUGGGACUCCAUGAGGACAAGGCCCUGAGGAGCAGUCCUUAUGCUCUAAGGAAUCAACUGGGGCCAAGCAAUGUCUGUCUUGCAUACACAUGCAAGACCCACCCACAGUCCAGUGCAAGUAUCAUAAGGUACAGGAAGAAACCAUGGUGGAGAUUAAAGGUAAGAUCAUCUGUCAAGAUUCCAGGUUUUUUUAAAAGAAUUGGAGUCAGGACGGGAAGUUUCUCUACAAUUGUAUUGUCAUGGAAUAGACCAAAGAGCAAGU